GACGAACGCUGGCGGCGUGCUUAACACAUGCAAGUCGAACGGAAAGGCCCUGCUUUUGUGGGGUGCUCGAGUGGCGAACGGGUGAGUAACACGUGAGUAACCUGCCCUUGACUUUGGGAUAACUUCAGGAAACUGGGGCUAAUACCGGAUAGGAGCUCCUGCUGCAUGGUGGGGGUUGGAAAGUUUCGGCGGUUGGGGAUGGACUCGCGGCUUAUCAGCUUGUUGGUGGGGUAGUGGCUUACCAAGGCUUUGACGGGUAGCCGGCCUGAGAGGGUGACCGGGCACAAUGGGACUGAGGUACGGCCCAGACGCCUACGGGGGGCAGCAGGGGAGAAUAUUGCACAAUGGGCGGAAGCCUGAUGCAGCAACGCCGCGUGCGGGAUGACGGCCUUCGGGGUGUAAAGCGCUUUCGCCUGUGACGAAGCGUGAGUGACGGUAAUGGGUAAAGAAGCACCGGCUAACUACGUG
rnacentral:rRNA from 1 species